rnacentral:lncRNA from 1 species
CCAGCCUUGGCGUCCCAUUCUACUCUGUCUCUGCGAAUCAGAUGUCAAAGGUGGUGCCCACAGCAUCUGCCACUUCAUGGCUGGCUUAUUUCAUUUCUACCUUUCUCAAAGUUUGUCUGUACAUGUGCCAAGUAUCAGAAUUUUUUUCCUCUGUCAGGGUGAAGAGUAUCCCUCAUCGCUCACUGGACAUUUGGGUGAAAACCAAACUCCUUAGAUUCCGGCUCAUACGUGGGUGCCAUGUUUUCUCAAGAACACUGGAUGGCACCAGUCAGUUGGUCACAAGAAGAGAAUAAAGGAGACAUCUAGAAACAGCAGCAGACAGCAGGAGAGCUGCACUAAUGGCUACAGUGAGUACUCGAGUGGCUCACACAGAAAAUGAUCACCUUGUUCAGAGACACUUAAGCCUCACCAGCCUCCAGGGUCUACCCUUGUGUGAGGCCAAUGAACUCUGAAGACUGAAAAUGUUUUGUAAAUGACCCCAACAAAGGAUGGACAAUCAUAAAUAAAGAGAGCUCAUGAUGGAAAAUUACCUACUCUGAAAGCUCCCGCAUAAUGCCUGUUUCUUAGGAGAUCUUCUGAGAGGAAGCAGAGAGGAAUUCUUCUGAGGCUGUUUCUAGAUCUUUCUAUAUGGUUCGCACUGGGACAAG